AACCGGUUUGGCUCAGUGGAUAGAGCGUCGGCCUGCGGACUGAAAGGUCCCAGGUUCGAUUCCGGUCAAAGGCAUGUACCUGGGUUGCGGGCAUAUCCCCAGUAGGAGAUGUGCAGGAGGCAGCUGAUCGAUGUUUCUCUCUCAUCGAUGUUUCUAACUCUCUAUCUCUCUCCCUUCCUCUCUGUAAAAAAUCAAUAAAAUAUAUUUAAAAAAAAAAAAAACAAAGCAGUAGUCAUGAGAGUAGGCUAUAAUGUAAUAUUACUGGAAUUCUUAUAACAAGGGAAAAUUUAGAGACAUGUAUACAGGGAGAAUGCCAGUUCAAUUUCUGAUCAGGGCCCAUUGUGGGUUUGAUCCCCAGUAGGGGACAUGUAGGAGGCAGCUAAUCAAUGGUUCUCAUUAAUGUUUCUAUCUCACUUCCUCUCUAAAAUCAAUAAAAAGAUAUUUUUAAAAUUUUCCCUGGUACUUUGUUACAGCAGCCCUAAGCAAACAAAUAUACCACCACAGAGCUAGAACUUAUUUGGAUCAUUAACCCUACCAGACCGCUGUACUGAUUUUUCGGUAAUUUCCGAAUCUGCCGCUAUAUCGCUGAACCUAAUUUUCGGUACUUUGCCUAGACCUAUUUUCUACAAUGUCUCCAAGUUGCAUCUUAUUCUAACCACUUGUUUGCAUGUAACUAACAUUUUUCUAUAUCAUGUUGGUUUUUUCUCUGUAAUGCUCAGGAGCCCAGGUAUAGGGGACAUUUAGGUUCAGGGCCUCAGGUCUGGUAUGGUUAAGAAGUAUACUAGUUAAAGCCCAUGGCUGAAACCACCACAUGAUCCUUCUUUAUUAAGGUAGAGAACAGUUUACUAUAGUCUGAUAAUAAAGAAAACUCAUACUCUUGCCCUAUCCUGUUUGGCUCAGUGGAUAGAACAUCGGCCUGUGGACCAAAAGGUCCAGGUUCGAUUCUGGCUAAGGGCACAUGCCCAGGUUGCAGGCUCCAUUCUCAGUAGGGGUUGUGCAAGAGGCAGCCGAUCAAUGAAUGAUUCUCAUCAUUGAUGUUUCUAUCUUCCCCUUUCCCUUCCUCUCUGAAGUCAAUAAAAAAAUAAAAAAAUAUAUAUAUAUGUAUA